CUAAACUAAUCCUUGGUUGAGUGUAACAGUGGAAGGAGGGUGAGCUAAUGAUCUAAGUGAGGAUGGGUUCAGUAAUUCCUCGCUCCUGUCACCUAAGAUUUCAUCGUUUAUUGUGUAUUCUAUGUCAAUCCAUAUUUUUUUAUGGGCUGUCAAUCACUACCACCAGUCGUCCACCCACCUCACUUUUUCUCAUGUAUAAUAACUCUUUUUUGUCACAUAUCAUAUCCCUUUCAAUCAAUACAAUUGCUUCCUUUUUCGAGAGUCUUCUUCGGUUCCUCCCCGCCCCCUUCUCUCUAUCUCUCCAUUUCUCUCGCUCUCUCUCCUCUGGCCCCCCCUCUUCCUCGCCAGCUUCUCUCUGUCUCUCCAUUUCUCUCGCUCUCUCUCCUCUCACCCCCUGCCAUUAGUCGCGAAUCUCUUCCCCAUCCCCCUUCUAUUCUCUUUCUCUGUUUCUUCUUCCCCUCCCCCCUUCUUCUCCUCCCCUUCUUCUUCCAUCACGGCCUCUCUGUCAUUGCCUUUGAAGAAAAGGAUCCGGUGCCUAUGGCUGCGCGUCGCAACCCACGACCACGCCGAACCUCCACGCUUCGGCCAUACCCACCUUCCUCAGCCCACGCCGAGCUCCCUCUCCCUUAGAUGUCCUCUCCAUUUUUUUUUUCUUGAUGGCAUCUCAAGGACAUACGAAGAAAUCAGAAGAUGGAAUUUCCAUGAUGGGUUUUAUUUUUUUGUUGGGUUUACUUUCUUUAAAAUACAGAUGUGAAUACGCAAAUAUACUUUUUAUUUUCUUUCCAUUUUAUUUUUUGCUGUGAUGCAUAUGCAUAUGCAAAUCAUCUAAUUACAUAAUGUAACAACAUUCAUACAAUAUAAUUGAUUCUUACAG